GACGAACGCUGGCGGCGUGCUUAACACAUGCAAGUCGAACGAAGUGGCGAACGGGUGAGUAACGCGUAAUCAACCUGCCCUUCAGGGGGGGACAACAGUGUGAAACGACUGCUAAAACCACAUACUGAAGGAGGAGAUGGCGUCUGAUUGGCUAGUUGGAGGGGUAACGGCCCACCAAGGCGAUGAUAAGUAGCCGGUCUGGGGGGAUGAACGGCCACAUUGGGACCGAGACACGGCCCAGACUCCCACGGGAGGCAGCAGUUGGGAAUUUUCCGCAAUGGACGAAAGUCUGACGGCGCAACGCCGCGUGAGUGAUGUCGGCCUUCGGGUUGUAAAGCUCUGUUAAUCGGGACGCGGUACCGGAAUAGAAAGCCACGGCUAACUACGUGCCAGCAGCCGCGGUAAUAC
rnacentral:rRNA from 1 species